UAACUUGUAAAGAAUAAAAUCUUUUUAGCAAAAAAAAUCAACCGACUUCAAAAUCACAAAAAUAAAGUAAAAAGCGAAAAACAAUACAAUAUCUAUGUGCUAACUUCUGAUCACUUUGAAGGCUGUGCCAAGCCAGUGACGUAUUAAUUAAAGCCGUUUCUGUAAGAACCACAGGAAAGAACUGUCUUGAAAUUCUAAAAAAAUAUGAUUUAAUCAUUUAAUUUAAUGUAGUGCAACUUUGAAGGCGGUGCCAACAGUGAUGGUACCGCCUUCAAAGUGAUCAGAAAGUAGCACAUACGAUGUUAUAUUUCGCUUUUUAGUUUUUUUUUAUUAUUUAGAAGUUCGAUGAUUUUUUUUGCUAAAAAUAUUUUAUUUACGACCUAAAAGAUUUUAAUGUGUCCUAGCAUAGUAAACGAAAGCGCCAAAGUACCGGAAAUUUCAUUAUUUUCAUUUUAACACAAAAUUACUGAAUCGAUUUUCAUGAAAAUUUAAUGAGACCUAUCUGGAACUAUAUCUACAAAAGUAGAUAUAGUUCCAGAGUUAGUUUAGUUAUAGGUAAAAACCUACUCUUUCAAACUCUCCUUCCUCUGGCUCUCACGCAUCGCGUCCAGUCCGGCCUCUUAGUCGGAGAAAAAUAGUUCCAAGAUAAAAUUAAUUUAUUUCAAGUAGGUAAGUUUAGUUCACAAGCACUUUGGUAACGUCUUAGUAUGUUAUUUAUAGAUACAUCUUAUGUAGUAAUUUUGAAUUUUGGUCGAGGUAGGUACUUUAACUUUUAAAAGUAAAAGAAGGCGAAUACUUAAAAUUAAAGUUACGAGGGCUCCGAACGCGCCUUGGUCCGAAAAGAAGCCCACAACAAUCUCGACCAGGAUUUUUUGUUUAGAUAACACCAUUUUACAAUAGAAAACUUAAAUCAUAAUAGGCUAACAAGCCUUUAUUUAGUGGCCAAACAUUUUUUGUUCGUCGAUGAAUUCCGUAAAUCAAUUUAGUAGGACCGUUAGCGGCCGAACGAAUCUGCGGAGAUGCCUCUGAGCGAGCUUUGUUCAGCGGUCGACGACCCCGCGCGCUUCGGCUGCCGCCCGGCGCCGCGCGCGACACCUGGAGCUCGGGCGCCGACUCGUUGCGUCGGGAGUAAUAUUCACUAUUGUAAUGAAGGAAAUAUUCCGUCGUAAAGAUAUUUGCAAGGGUUCAACGGUUUUCCAAAUGAAAAGUUAGCCCCGAAGGACCCGGUGGACGCGAGCCGGAGGAGUCCUGCCCGCCUCGUCGGCGGCGAGCGGCGCGGCGGGCGCGUGCCGUAUGUAAAGCGGCUCGGAAAAUCCAUAACGGGCCGCGGAAAACCCUUUUAAUAUACGGCACGUAAAUAAGCCUCGCCGCGGGGCGGGCGCGGGGCGGGCCGCCAUUGGCCGGCGCGGGCCCGCCCCGCCCCCGCACCCGCCCCGCGCGCGCCUGAAAAAAACCUCGGAAAAAAGCGGCGAGCGCGCGGCAGUGCCUCACGGACGCGCUCGGUGGGCGGACGUCGCUCGCGACAGAGAGACGGCGCGACCCACGACCGGCGGCCGCGGCCGCGCCAUGCCCGCGCUGGCCCUGCGCGACCAGCCGCUCGACUGCUCCAUGCGCCUGCGCGAGCCGCCCGCCUGGCCGCCGCACCACGGUCAGCCUCCCACAGUGUUCAGUGUUUGGUUUUGUCGUUCUCCCGUGGCUCCGCGCGCUGCGUCCAGCGCGUAAGUAGAGCCAGGCUCGGUGCCGACGGUGCGUAUGCGUGCUGCACCCGCCCGGUGCUCGUAGCGAUAUGAAGUCGGAAGGGAUGUCGGGCCGCGGCGACGUCAGCGGCUUCUUCAACACGCAGAUGGUGCUCGACCUCAACGGUGAGUGUACCCACAUAUGUACAUACACACAUACACACACCGCACUGUCAGUGCGUGCGUUCAAACAAACUAACUCUUCAACUUUACCAUAAGUUUGUGUGCUAGCGGCGACGACGGGUCGCAUGCGGGCUCGUCACCGAGUUAGCAAUACUUGGACUUGCAAUGUAUAUGUACUUAUAGGUUACUGUGAAGUUGUGGCUCCGCCUUUAGAAACUGAAAACAUGACAGAAUGUAUGUAGAUUAAACCAAGAACUACUUUUAUUAUAUGUUCAGGAAUCAUUGUGAGUAAAAAGGACUGGGGUGGUAGCAUUUAGAGAAGUUGUUCAUACUUGAUGUGAUCAUUAAACGUAUCGCCGUGAAUUGAUGCGUGUUAGUGUAGCUACUGGCUACAGUCAUCUCGUCUCGCGUCGUAUUAUUUAUCGGAGGAGGUGCUACUCAGUGUAAAUGAGACAUGCGAAGUGUAACUAAAUGCACCCACUGGCCGGACACUACGAGAAGCCAACGGCAGCCGUCGGCUCACUUCCGCCGCUGACGACAGAGCAAGGCGCUGUCGAGUUAGUGCGGACUGCGAUACACAUCCACAACUCGAAUAUUUACAACGACAAUGUAAUACAGUAACACUGAUAAUGUGCAUUUGUGCCUUUGAAAGUUAAAAAUUACAAAAUGUACUUCUAAUAGGUUUAACCGUAUGCACUCUACCCACGCUUCGGUAAAAACUGUCGCAGCUAAUCGAAUUCGCUCCGUUAGCCGCCGCGCACAAAAAGACGUUUUACAUUUAACACUUAUUUGUGACAACUCACCCCCGUCCCCCGCACCGCACCGCGCCCCCGCACCCGCACACAAAACGACGACAUAAUCAAAUUAAUACAAAUUCACCGCGGAUCUUUUUGUGAGGCGCGGCGACACCGAGACAUUUCUAAUUUUCGUCUAGGCGCGUUUUUUGCCCGCGUUAAUUACGGGAUGAAUGGAGAGGUGCGGGGCGGCGGGGCGGCGGGGAGACGCUCGCUUUUUGCCGCGGAUGCGCUUCAGCGAACCCGAGUUCUCUCGUUGGCGACAUUUCUGGGAUCGGCGCAAUGCGACGCGACGCGACGUCCGCCGCUCGCCGCCGCGCCGUCGUGUGGUCGCUGGUCGCGCAGCACUGCGUUAGUUCCGCACGGACGCGCCGGCCCCGCGCGGCACGUCCGCCGACCGAUCUACUCUCCGACUACUGUUGCCCAUUCACUCCCUCAUUUCUAAAUACCCUGAAUUAGUAAAUUAAUGAAAAUACCUACCUACAAAAAAAGAUGAAGAGGAACUGAUUGAUCUUUUUGAGUCCGAGCGGCGGCAUUUGCAUUCCCGGCCCCCGCAGGCUGCUCAAUAGCGCGACAGUUUAUGCGUCGCGACGACCCGAGCGAUGAGUUCGUUCGCGAAUUGUCGAAUCUUUCCAUCGUUAUCACCGAAAGUAGUCAACGCUCGGCGCAGGUAACCCGCGCCGAGCCGCAUUUACGCAUUUUGGAGCUUACGAAUGCACGACACCGAGAUCGUCAACAGAUUCGUCCAAACUGAGAGUCGUUUGUUUAACGAUUAACAUCGUGCAAAUCGAGCGUCCCGCUCUCGACACAUGUACGGACGACGGAGUGCGAUUUUCCACAAAUGUCUGAGUGAACAAAGACACGACCUCGUCCGCCCCGCGGCUCCGUCCGCAGCACAUUUGCAUGCGCGGCUACCUGGGCCUGGGCCUGGGCCCGGGCGCGCAUCUGCCCGCGUUUUUUCUGCCUCAGCUCGGAGCGGCGAACAAUCGGCGCGGCUCGCAUGCUUCUAUUUCCAUUAGUUUUUGCGGACCGCUCGUAAACGUGAAUAGGGAUUUUUUUAGAUUUAUUGCGAAACGUGCGUAGGCGGUCGGCCUCGUGACGUGGACGUGUCGCGCGCCGUAGCGUCCAGCGGUUCAGAGGUGAAGCAGCGGUGCUCCAGGACAUUUGCGCCCGACCGAAGCUCCCGCGUCGGCAUGAGCCGGGUGGACGAUCAAACUCUCACACACCAGAGAACUCUUUGCGACGCUCUCAACAGUCAGUACAUCGUUUUAAACCAGAACGGCAAUUCGCUGCUAAUUUCAAGAAUUAAAAUUCUAUUUCCGAACCGAAAAACUAUUCUAUCUGAUUUUCCAAAAUUCAAACUCGAAAUAAUUAAGAAUUUAUUUUGAGUUUGAAUAUUGGGAAAUUAGAUUUAGUCCUCGCGAAGUUGCAUCAGUGUCCCCGUGCUCCACCAGCACACGGCACGGCGAGUGGUCACGCGGCGGCGGGCCCUGCGCCGCCCUCGCGCGUCCAUCUAUCCGAGCGCUAGUGUAAGUAAUGUAUGUCGGUAGUUGUUUUUCGUUUUGUCCUCCAUUAUCCGCUCAUGUUAAUAUUAUCUUGAUGAUACGCGGCGUGGAAAUCUAUUAUGCUAAUGAGGCGCGGCCGCGGGCGCGCGGGAGGGGUAACGCCUAAUUACUGCGCGCACUCGAGCUGCCGACUAAUUAGAUAUUAUUACAAUUUACACGUGAUAUUUUUGGGACGACGAUUGAAGUGUACCACGUAUUGACGUAUCGUGGGCGUCUGUGAUUCUUUAAAAACGGUUUUUUUCCGAAAAGGUAGAUCUGCCAAUAAAUAACAUAUGAAGCUAAACUAUUUGUAAAGAUUCUCGAUAGCUAAAAGGUUUUUUCCCGAAGUGCGCGCAAUAGCGUUACCUUUUUUGUCUGUUUCUCAGAAUUGAGAGUAAUCGCAGAGCUCGUGCGUUGUAGCUACUCGCGCACCGCGGCGCGACUGUGAGCCUUGCGGCGCGGGCGCACGGCGCACGGUCGCGCGCCGAGCCCGGCCGACAAUAGAUUUGCAUACGUAGACGCGCAACUUUUUGCACCCACUUUUUGUGCGCAUUCGGCAAUCCGGAGAUCAAUCAUGGGAACGUUCGCAGCCCCCCGCGCCCGCGCCGGCCCGCGCGCCUGCCGGGGGGCGACGCAUUGUUCGGCGCAGAGCGAAGAUCCGUCAAUAAUUUACGCACAGGUAUAAUAGCCUUUCUUAAUAGCCUUUCUAUUCUCGACGACGCCCGGUGAGGCGACGUGACCGUUCUAAAAAAAUCAACAUAUCGCUGGCAGCCGGUUGCGGGCGCGACGGAUGACAAAUUAGGUAAAGCAGCAGUCUUAGCGGGGAGAAACGUCCUGACGACAGGAUACUGAUUCGUAUAUCAUUAUAUCGAUGGAGAGAGCCAAGUGUCAGUACCUCGCUCGCCGGGUCGCUCGCUGCAUGCGGGUGCCGACACGUCACCGCGAGGGUGCAGGUGGCGGUGCCUGGUCUCGGUGACUCCGUCUGCACUCCCGCUGACUCUUCGCGUCGUGCUGCAGAUGUCGUCUGCUGCUCGCAGUGAGGCGGAGGCGGACUGGAACGGGAAUGAGAUUAUAGAUAGCGCGAACGUUUCCUUUAGAUGUUAUCGUUCCCGAAGUGCAAAUAACGCCUAAUGCGUUUCAUGUAAUCGCAUGAGUAAUGUCUUGAUAAUGAAUAAUAAUUUAAUUUUAACGAACGAUAUUCACGUUAUUGGAUUUGGCCUUUUGCAGUUUUAGUUUAAAAAUUCGCUCGCUUUAUACGUGGGUACGCGAUACUUUAAUCGAUUUGCACGAUAUUAAAACUUUGCCAAUUUAAAUAAAGAUGCCAAUAUCGGUUGUAACAAUGUGAAAAUACCAGAUGGAACCAAAUAGGUGAAAAUGAAAAUGGCGCUAAAACACAAGAUUCACAAAGAUGGCGCACUUCCCGCGCCGGCACCCCGCCCACUGCCCACCAGGUCCUCGCUAACGAUAUUCAUCAAUUCAUCGUCGCGGCGAUACACUACACGUAUCAAGUUAGCUCAGCGUCAGUUCGAGAGACUGGCAGGAACUCCAUCGAGAGAUGCUACUUCAACGCGCGCGAGCAGAAGCGGCUGCGGGCGGCCUCCCGGUAACUCUUCUUAGGCGAUGGCGGGAAAGCGUCACAAACGAUUCAUCGAAACGUGCGCGACGGACGCUUUAGUCGAUCGCCGCUGUGCGACGCGACAUCUGAAGAUGUUUCUUCUUCGAACGCUGCUUUCGUUUUUCGCGCGUCAGACGCUGGUCAUCGGUUAGCUAAAAAACAGUUCCCGGAGAGAGGUCAGCGCGCGACCGUUACGCGGGGAGGGCGGAGGGCGAGCAGUUUAUCGCGAAAGGCCACCGAGGGGCGAAGCAGUGUAUCGGGUGCCGCAUGCGAGCCGACCUUUGCGAGUCCCGUUGUCCACCUGCGCACGUUGGGGUCCCGCUACUCGCUACGUUAGCCGCGACUCUUAACGGCCUGACCUUAGCCCGGCCGGCGCGCCGAGCAAAAACUGACAACACGAGCGACCGACCGGCGACCGGCGCCCGACUCCUGCCUGCCUUAGCCUGCGCUCGCUCGCUACUAAUAUAAUGAUCUGAAAGACUGAGCCGCUCUCACGACCUUCUACAUUGUCUAAUAUACCUUAUCACAGGCCGCAUGUUCGCUUAACAUCCACCAGGUGUGAUAGAAGCCAAGCGCUGCCUAGUGCCUACUCGUAUAUAGGUAAUUCGAUAAAUUGAAAUCGAUAAUCUCUACACGCAGAGAAUUACGAAAGUUUUUCACCGUUUGAGAUACGUGAUAUUUAAUUUCUUAAAAUGGACAUACCUGAAAAGUUGGAGGUGCUUGCCCCGGACCGGAUUCGAACUCACACCCUCCGGAAUCCGAGGCAGAGGUCAUAUCCACUGGGCUGUCACGGUAUUCUUCUACUAUCCCUAUUACCGCCCAAAAUUGAGAUCCAAACAACACUGUAUGUAUAUUUUCCCCUAAGAUUAUUAUUUUUGUUGGUGUCGGUCGCUCGGCGGAGAGAGAUCUAUCCUUAGUCAGUGAUGUGCCCGUAAGUCUUGAAUUACAGUGUAUUGAUCAGAAGUCGUGUUUCUUAUUUCUGAAUAAAAAAUAAGCCACACGUGGUCAGUGGCCCGGGUGCUCGCGGGGUGCGGGCGGGGCGCGGGGCGGGGGCGUAACAAACGCAUUAACGAACGACACGUAGAUAAUAUUCAAUCAAAUAUUCAGUAAUGUCGGGUAAUUGGAGGUGCGAUGGCGGCACCAUUACCUGCGACGUGCGCCCGCUUAUUGAGUAUCGACAGGUACCGGCGGGGCGGCACCGGCGGCGCAGUAUCGGCGCAGUAUCGGCACAAUAUCGGAUCACAAUGACGAUAAUGCAUCUCAUUUGCGCGCGCUGCCGUUACCGCAGAACCCGGACACUACUUUUAGAAAACAUAACAGUUAAUGAUUUUUUUGUAUGUAAGUAUAAUAGUAAAUUAUGAUAUUCGUCUGCGUGGAAUUUAGUUUUUCACAAAUCCCUCGGGAACCAUGGAUUUUUCCGGGAUAAAAAGUAUGCCUAUGUGUUAAUCCAGAAUAAAAUAUAUUUCCAUUCCAAAUUUCAGCUAAAUCGCUUCCGUAGUAGCGGCGUUAUAGAGUAACUAACAUCCAAACAUACAUCCAAAUACCUAUUAGUAGGAAGCAGGAAGUGCGGUAAGUUGAAAAUGACAGCCGAGGCGAUAUUGCAGCUCGAGCCAAAGGCGAGAGCGCCCGUGUGUCAUUCGACGUUUUAUAACACAUUAGCGAGGAAACACACUUUGAUUACACUUUCUGAAAAUAAAUUUGCAUCUAUGUCUGUUUUCCAUUUGAUGACAAUCUGACACGCUUGCGAGCACUAGCGGUUUUUUAGGCGAAUGUACCAAAAGCAGUCAAUAUUAGGGACUAAUAAAAUAAAUGAAUAUUUUUGUGUUUUAUUCUAAUAAAGUAAAUGAAUAUUUUUAUAUUUUAUCUCACAAAGUAAAAUUUUAUUCAUAAAAUGUUUGAGCACUUUUCUGACAUAAAAAACUUUUUGCUAAAGUUUAACAAAGUACCGUCCGUUUUUUUAUAAAACCUUCAUGAUGAAGGUUUUAUAUUACAUUACACACACACAUGUGCGUAAUGAGAUACAUUACAAUAUUUUUAUAACAAGCAAAUUUGUUAUAAAUUUGUUUACAAUAUUAGUCUUAUUUUUUUUAUUUUACCAAACCCUUUUCCAAUUAACAGUCAAUACAGUUGUAACGAGUGGGUACGGCAAAAGUUCAAUAGACGAAAUAAUGUCCGGAGCCCGAGUUCAGUUCAGCACAACGCCGGCCACACAGGAACAAGUCUACCACACGCGAGUGUAUCUACCGCUCAAAGUAUUUACUGUUCGCCAAUUAAGCUACCUACUUUUAUGACAUUAAUUAUACCGAUGUCGUCGUCCCUGCGCGCGCCGGCCGAGGGCAGCAGCGCGCCGCAGCAGCGCGAGAUGCGCCGAUAGCGCCGCCGCAGCAAUUGCAGCAAUUAGCUCACCGAUGCUAUCUGCACUUAAUGAUUAGCAUGAGUCGGCGCGGCACCCGACGCAUACAAUUACGAGCAGAUGUCGCGACUCCCAGUUGCAUUGUUGCCUCCGCUUCACUCGAGGAGGUGACCGCAGACCCGCGGGCCGAGGCGCGGCACGUCCUCGCUCGCGACUAGAAAUAACGCAAAACGUUGUUUACGUGCUUUUACUACUGCGCCACAGGUGGGAGCUGUACGUACGAAUGAAAUAAGAUUAACGUAGUUGGGCCGGCUGCUGGAAUAUCUGACAAGUGGCUACUCUAAUAUCAAAGUCAAAAACGCAGGGGAGUCGUCCCGCCGCAUGCUAAUGCCCGGGCUCACGCACGCACGGCACACCUGCGGCGGGUCAAGGUCGCGACACCUCCCGUGCGCGCCGCGUGUGUGCGCUCGCUGGCUGCUCGUGCACUCGUUUGAUGUACGGAGUGAACAUCGCUGCGCAAACAGUGAGCUCGCGCCGCGCCGGGACGCUCCCGAAGUACCGUUCCGAGCUCGCGGAGCACCGUUUUGAAUAUUUGAAAUUUUUAAUAAUAACGGGCGAGCGGGCGAAGCAUGAAUUCUCAUUAAAUCGAGCUAACAUUUUGCAUUCUGCUUCUUAAAAUAGUUAAAUUUAAAUGAGACUAUUUUUAAUUAAAUAAAAAUGUAAGCGAUGUGAUAAUGCGUAGGUACGGUCUCCGGCCGCCGCUCGCUUCUACAAAAUAUAAAUUAGUGAGGAGCCAAAUGAGAGAUUAAUUAAUGAGAUUACAUUCAUUAUGUCAGUCGUUGUUGUCAAACUUUCCGCUGCCAGCGGGCGGCGGCGGGCGCGGGCGCGGGCGCGGACGCUUACUAAUUUAUAUACUCGAAAGAUACUCACUCGAUGCGUGCAGCAGUAACUACGAGAAUAUACGCAAUACGCAAUACGCAAUAAAAUAAUAAUGUAUGACAAUUGCAACGCGUGCCAGAUGUCUGCGGACUUGGAAUGUCCUACAGGUCCUCAACUCCUCGCAGAUGAAUUUGGAAGUCGGAAGUAUAGCUAUCAGUAUCAGUCAACACUACACUUUCCUACUGAUUUCCGAUUUAAAGAGGUCGUACAUUCCACAUCCUUACAUACGUACAAGUAGGUAUUAAGGUGUCGAUGUACGAUGUCACACCAAACGUCCGAUGGCCUGCACCGGUCUACACGGUGCACAAUGAAGACGACGAAGUCCGAUCGGUUUAAGCCAUACAUGUAUGACACGUUGCGGUCGUUUCUCAGUCCUGUUACGCGGUCAGGUCCGGAGGCCGCCGCGCAUUAGAAUAGCUAAUGGCCGCCCUCGUUUGCAUACUGUUAAUUACAAUAUCGCAGCAGGUCCGUGUUCCGCUGUUCGCUACAGAUGUAGCUCUUCAGAUAAUAUUGUUGUUGCGCCGCCGCGGCGCGAUUACAUCUCUCGCAAGAUGUUUAGCAUAACUAGAACGAUUUGCAUAAAGCUGCCGGACUAAUGUAGACAUCACAAUUAAAAUAUUAUAAUAACUUUAGAGUAGUGCCCGUCGUGUGCGCUCGGCCGGCGCCGGCGGGGCCCGGGCGCGGGGAGCACGAGAGCGAUUCAUCGAGACGGACCCUGGCAGCCCGAAAGAGUCGUGUGGGGAACCCGAUCCCACCUGGGAAUCGGUCCAGGCGAGAGCAGCUCGGUGCGCGCGGUGCCGCUCGUCCGCACCGAGCUGGAGCGCCCUGAGAGGCUUACGAUAAUAAUUUCCGUCCGUGUGUACACACUACACAGUUCAUACGCUAUUCACAGUAAGUAGCCUUUUACUUCAUCCCCUUAUCUCGAGAGGGGCGCUAAAGUGUUUUAAGACCUUCCAAAUUGAUUCUCUCUCCUCUUUAUGCCCCAAUUGUACAUUUUUUUCACAUUUGUUUGUUCGUCAAUAGACGGCGGCGCGCGCCCCUCGCCCGCCCCGCUCCCCCCGCUCGCCCCGCCGCGGCCGGACACAGCUUUUACUUUUAAAAGUUAUUCUUUCUCAUUCCGUAUCCGAUAUAAUCCUUUUAACUGUUUCACACACGAUAUAACAAGCGAUUCAUCUAUUGUUUUUUUCAUUGGAUAAAAACAAAGGAGAUGGUCCAAAAUUGUAUGGAGCCCAGGUCCAGUCAUUGUACCCUAGCGGAAAUAAAAGAAAAUAUUUUUUUUACUAUUUUUGAUUACACAAAUUUACGAAUUUACUUUAAUUCUUUCAAAAUAAUAUUCAUUAUCUCCCAAGAAAUGCAACACUAUUAAGGGUAAUAAUGACCGAUGGAUGACGAUUUCAAUGCAGUAAUCGUUCUGACCUUUGCUGUCAAAUGUCAUGUCAUAGUUGCUCUCAGGGCGCCAUCUCGAUAUAACUCAAAAACUUGGGUUUUAAUUAUAUUUAUUUCUUUUUAUUUAGUUACAUUUAAUAAAUUUUAAUGAUACGGGUACAAGAGUCCAUUUCAGGUCCACUCUUGUCGAAACACGAGUUCAAAAUGUUUAGCUCGUGUUUCGAUUCAAUUUUAUUCAUUAUAAUGAGAUUUACUGCACAAUUUUGAGAAGGUAUUCGUGUAGAUAUAUAAGUAGGUAUGUGUUGCAUAAUUUAUAUUUACUUAUACCUACUGCCGAACAAGUAUAGUUUGCGCCAACUGCGGGUGACCCCGUAUGAUCACACAUCGCGCCAGGCGCCGCCGAUGCCGUCGGUGCUGUUGGAGCCGUCGGUUUAGUCGGAGACGAGUCGGGGCUUCUGUUUGUCCGCGAAACGUUCUUUGCUUAAUUAAUGAUUGUGGAGCGGGGCCGCUCCCCUUCAUCCCUUUUCUAAAAUGUAAACGUAGCGCCGAAUACAAUCACGCUGCAGCUGCGGCGACCCGCCCCGACCUCCCGACCUCCCGACCUCCCGACCCCCGGCCUCCUGUCGGCUCGUAGCAGAGGAGGGUCGUGUUGAAAACCUAAUGUAUAAAAGCAAUGGAAUAAAAUAACACAAGCUGGAAUGUAUAAACUGUAUUUCAAAUAACUUAUUACUCAUUCUUAAACAAAUCGUUACUUUGGUAGAUGGAUAAUACAUUAAUUAAAUAAACUUCACGCCACAUAAUCGCAUGUUCGCCUCUUUUACAUAGAGUAUAUAUCACAAUACCCUACCAACCUCAGAAUAAAACCAUUAUCAUUAAUAAACAGUACAGAUUAAAACAUUUAUCUGGAAGAAGGAGUUUUUAUAUGUUGUCUUAUGUAUUUAUAAUUAUUUAAAUAAUUAAAAAUCUAACAUUCGGCCAUACUGACUACAAGUUUGUCCUCAAACUUUGUAAACACAAAUAAAUUCUAACAUUACAUUAUUAUAAAGAUUCACUGAACUAUGUCUCAUAGUAUUUAAAAUUUUAAUUUAUGUUUAUUA